rnacentral:misc_RNA from 1 species
UGUAUGANNNNNGWUUGGGWUGUUUUUGCUUGCUGGCUCCAUGCUUUUGCAUCGAACGGUUGGCAUGCAAUUCCGUUUCAAGUACACCUCGCUCUUAGCUGCGGUGGUGCGUGAUUCCGGUUCCUGUGUUGCCUACCUCUUGAAUGGUAUUCGUGUGGCUUGAUGGAUUAUGUCCAUCCAGUUCUCCUCCGAGGGGUUCUGGGGGAUUUCGAAGUGAUACAUGUGUUCCACGUUAGUUGUUUGUUAUUGAAGCAAUUGUGGYGCACAUGUAUUUGCUGCUCUCUCGGAUGCGGUGCAUGAGAUGAAACAUGGGAAAUUUGCCCAUUCAGUCUCUCAAAAAUCUUGGUUGCCUUGAAUGACACUUGCCUUUGUGCUUGCUUGCUCCCCACUCGYGGUUGCAUGCAGGCAUCGAUGAGCAAAGUUGUUAAUGGAUG